GAAAACCCGUCAGAGUGGCACCUCCGUUUUUUUCUCUUAUCUCCGGUCGUGCCUACACCCGUCCUGACGUUCCCCGCGAAUUUUAUCCACGCCGCUCCGCCAAAUCCACUCAUUUUCCACACCUACCUGACAUGCGGCAUUUGCGGGGAGAAAGGGGCAGAGAAAAAACACGCAUCGCUCCGCUGUGGAUUUGUAAACGUUAUUGUGCUUUGGAUCGAGCGGGUUUGAUGCCGGGACAACUUUCCCCCUCACGACGCAGAGACAGAAACAGACAACAAUAGAUUAUAAAACAGUCUGCUGCAGUUCGGCUGCAAGGUCGAUGUGGAUUUUUUUUUUUUUUUUUUGCAUUUUUUUUUUUAGCAUUUUUCUCCCAUCCAACAAAAUCCCUAAAAUAUUAAUAUAGAAUCACAGCUGUGAGUUUAUUGUGACUUUUUGACAUGGUGAUGAAUGUCUCCUAUGCCACUCACGAAAUUGACGGAGAGCACGGCCGUCCCUACCUGCCAUAUAUCAUUUUCACUGAGGUCAUCUGAGGAGAGCAGCGGGUGCAGGAAAUAUGGGAAAGGUACAGGAGGUGUGUUUUUUUUUUUUUCCUCCUUUUUCUUUGGGUGGGGUUUUUGUCUCGCUUUAUUGCGGCCACGUUUUUGCGCGCACGCCAUUUUUUCCGUGCGCUUUUACGCACAGCGACACAGACUGAACGGCGAUUGGGACUCAAAGUGGAGCGAAGCGAUCCUGAAGGGGACAAAAGAAAAAGGCAGAAGAGCACCGGGGGGGCCAAGCGCUGGCUGAGGUAGUAGUUUGUGCUGUUGGUCGGGUUGACAUAUUACCCAUUGUGGAGAUGACUGCGCAAUCUACUGCCUUGCCGGCGCUGGUGACUUGCGACAGAGGAAUCAAACCGGAUCAACAUUCAUGACUGAACUCACUUGACUGUUUGUAAACAGAAUAACCCGAAUGGGAGCGAACAUGCCUUCAUAAUAACCAAGUCUCCUGUAAAACUACCGUGCGUAAAUUGAAUUGAAAUUGAUGGAACUGUCACACAUAUGUUAAAAUGUCUCUGGUUGUAGAUACAUUUGUGAAUAAAGUGAUUUUAAUGGUA